rnacentral:rRNA from 1 species
UAGCUAGUUGGUGAGGUAAAGGCUUACCAAGGCGACGAUCUGUAGCGGGUCUGAGAGGAUGAUCCGCCACACUGGAACUGAGACACGGUCCAGACUCCUACGGGAGGCAGCAGUGGGGAAUUUUGGACAAUGGGGGCAACCCUGAUCCAGCCAUGCCGCGUGAGUGAAGAAGGCCUUCGGGUUGUAAAGCUCUUUCGGCCGGGAAGAAAUCGCAUGGGCCAAUACCCUGUGUGGAUGACGGUACCGGAAUAAGAAGCACCGGCUAACUACGUGCCAGCAGCCGCGGUAAUACGUAGGGUGCGAGCGUUAAUCGGAAUUACUGGGCGUAAAGCGUGCGCAGGCGGUUUUGUAAGACAGGCGUGAAAUCCCCGGGCUUAACCUGGGAACUGCGUUUGUGACUGCAAGGCUAGAGUACGGCAGAGGGGGGUGGAAUUCCACGUGUAGCAGUGAAAUGCGUAGAGAUGUGGAGGAACACCAAUGGCGAAGGCAGCCCCCUGGGUCGAUACUGACGCUCAUGCACGAAAGCGUGGGUAGCAAACAGGAUUAGAUACCCUGGUAGUCCACGCCCUAAACUAUGUCAACUAGGUGUUGGGUGGGUAAAACCAUUUAGUACCGUAGCUAACGCGUGAAGUUGACCGCCUGGGGAGUACGGCCGCAAGGUUAAAACUCAAAGGAAUUGACGGGGACCCGCACAAGCGGUGGAUGAUGUGGAUUAAUUCGAUGCAACGCGAAAAACCUUACCUACCCUUGACAUGCCAGGAACUUGCCAGAGAUGGCUUGGUGCCCGAAAGGGAGCCUGGACACAGGUGCUGCAUGGCUGUCGUCAGCUCGUGUCGUGAGAUGUUGGGUUAAGUCCCGCAACGAGCGCAACCCUUGUCGUUAAUUGCCAUCAUUUGGUUGGGCACUUUAACGAGACUGCCGGUGACAAACCGGAGGAAGGUGGGGAUGACGUCAAGUCCUCAUGGCCCUUAUGGGUAGGGCUUCACACGUCAUACAAUGGUCGGUACAAAGGGUUGCCAAGCCGCGAGGCGGAGCCAAUCCCAGAAAGCCGAUCGUAGUCCGGAUUGCAGGCUGCAACUCGCCUGCAUGAAGUCGGAAUCGCUAGUAAUCGUGGAUCAGCAUGUCACGGUGAAUACGUUCCCGGGUCUUGUACACACCGCCCGUCACACCAUGGGAGCGGGUUCCGCCAGAAGUAGGUAGCCUAACCGCAAGGAGGGCGCUUACCACGGCGGGGUUCGUGACUGGGGUGAAGUCGGAACAAGGUAGCCGUAGGGGAACCUGCGGCUG